rnacentral:rRNA from 1 species
UUGACCUCAAAUCAGGUAGGGAUACCCGCUGAACUUAA